UUCGUCGCCUUAUUUCCAGAGGGACGUAAAUCGAUUUUUUGGCAAAAUGUCAUGUUUGGUAUCGUUGGAUUCGUAAUUUCAAGCUAUACAAGAUGGGCCGACUUACACCCAUGUAGAACUAAUAAUAAAUACGCUAUUUUCCGUUCCAAGAAGACGUAAGUCCGUUUAAACACAUAAUUUGAUUUCCAAAAAGUCGUAACUCAACAACCAAUGGGAAUGGCCGAUUUCACUCUAAACGGUGCUAGGGUACAAUUUUCACUUGCAAAAGUAUCCAUUUUUGAAAACUGCAUCGUAAAGUAAACAUGAUUUUGAUCAAGUUAUGGGAAUUAUUUUUAAUAGAAAAUGAGUGCAAGGAUUCAAGAUCUGCCUAGUGAAGUAUUGGUGAAAAUAUUCCAGUUUUUACAACUUGAAGAUCUAUUAAGAACGGUCAAUCGUGUCUGUGUUCUCUUCUACAAUCUAAUUGAAAAUUCUGCUGUAUUGUGGAAAGAAAUUGACUUCUCACACCCACUGGAACUGACAGCAAACAAUUUGUAUCAGGUGCUUCGACAUUCUAGGAAGACAGAAACAUUGUUACUACCUUGUGCAACAUACCAUUGUGCUAAUGCAAAUUAGACAGAAUAUUUACGACAUCAGACUUCACUUCGCUGGUUUGGAUUGACAUAACUGAUGCGAAAGUAUCAACUUUGUGAUUCCUGGAUGGUGCACCAAAUCUAGAAAUAGUGAACGUUAGUGGAUGUUCGAACCUUAUAGAUGAUGAUUUCUUGGUACUUAAAGACAGCACUAAACUAGAACAGAUUUAUGUGAGUUUCACAAGAAUACUACCAGAAACUUUGGAAGUAAUUUGCAAAGAUAAGCCUCUCAUCUGUGUAGAUGCAUGUGGAGUCAAGCUGAACAUUCAAACGUGCCAGAACAUUUUGCAAAACACAACUGACUGGAGAGCUUGUCUACUUCAAUAUAUCACUAUGUUCUUCUGUUUCCAAAGAAAACUUUAAAGCAGAAAUUCUGGAUUUAUAUUUGAACACAUCUAUUUCAAUACACAACCAUGAGUACUAGUAAAUUCAGUUUAAGAUAAGUUAUGAACAUGCUGGAAGAUGAUCAGUUACAGUAUAGUGAUGACUUGUUUGAGAGCAAUGGUGAACAGUCUUAUGAUGUAAAUUAAAUAUUUGACAAUGUACCAAAUGAUUUAUGCGACCAGCAGUUCAGUGAGCAAAAUGAAACUAACCUAAACACUUUUGACAAUGUGGACGAUUCUAUAUCUUUAGCACAUAAUUCGGAUGAAAAUUUAAGUUCUAUUCCUGAUACAGUAACUUUGAAUUUUUAUGACACUAGCAGAUUACCAGAAUCAGAAAUAUCAGAGGAGACAUGUGAUUCCCACUUUAAAGAUUACCAGAAAUCUAGUACUGUGAUCAAUUUCAAAGGAGUUCCCUAUACAAAGGUCAA